CCCAGUAAACGGCGGCCGUAACUAUAACGGUCCUAAGGUAGCGAAAUUCCUUGUCGGGUAAGUUCCGACCUGCACGAAUGGCGUAAUGAUGGCCAGGCUGUCUCCACCCGAGACUCAGUGAAAUUGAACUCGCUGUGAAGAUGCAGUGUACCCGCGGCAAGACGGAAAGACCCCGUGAACCUUUACUAUAGCUUGACACUGAACAUUGAGCCUUGAUGUGUAGGAUAGGUGGGAGGCUUUGAAGUGUGGACGCCAGUCUGCAUGGAGCCGACCUUGAAAUACCACCCUUUAAUGUUUGAUGUUCUAACGUGGGCCCCUUACCGGGGUUGCGGACAGUGUCUGGUGGGUAGUUUGACUGGGGCGGUCUCCUCCUAAAGAGUAACGGAGGAGCACGAAGGUUGGCUAAUCCUGGUCGGACAUCAGGAGGUUAGUGCAAUGGCAUAAGCCAGCUUGACUGCGAGCGUGACGGCGCGAGCAGGUGCGAAAGCAGGUCAUAGUGAUCCGGUGGUUCUGAAUGGAAGGGCCAUCGCUCAACGGAUAAAAGGUACUCCGGGGAUAACAGGCUGAUACCGCCCAAGAGUUCAUAUCGACGGCGGUGUUUGGCACCUCGAUGUCGGCUCAUCACAUCCUGGGGCUGAAGUAGGUCCCAAGGGUAUGGCUGUUCGCCAUUUAAAGUGGUACGCGAGCUGGGUUUAGAACGUCGUGAGACAGUUCGGUCCCUAUCUGCCGUGGGCGCUGGAGAACUGAGGGGGGCUGCUCCUAGUACGAGAGGACCGGAGUGGACGCAUCACUGGUGUUCGGGUUGUCAUGCCAAUGGCACUGCCCGGUAGCUAAAUGCGGAAGAGAUAAGUGCUGAAAGCAUCUAAGCACGAAACUUGCCCCGAGAUGAGUUCUCCCUGACUCCUUGAGAGUCCUGAAGGAACGUUGAAGACGACGACGUUGAUAGGCCGGGUGUGUAAGCGCAGCGAUGCGUUGAGCUAACCGGUACUAAUGAACCGUGAGGCUUAACCUU
rnacentral:rRNA from 1 species